rnacentral:rRNA from 1 species
CCUACGGGAGGCAGCAGUGGGGAAUAUUGCACAAUGGGGGAAACCCUGAUGCCGCGACGCCGCGUGAGUGAAGAAGUAUCUCGGUACGUAAAGCUCUAUCAGCAGGGAAGAAAAUGACGGUACCUGACUAAGAAGCCCCGGCUAACUACGUGCCAGCAGCCGCGGUAAUACGUAGGGGGCAAGCGUUAUCCGGAUUUACUGGGUGUAAAGGGAGCGUAGACGGCAGCACAAGUCUGGAGUGAAAUCCCGGGGCUUAACCCCGGAACUGCUUUGGAAACUGUGAAGCUGGAGUGCAGGAGAGGUAAGCGGAAUUCCUGGUGUAGCGGUGAAAUGCGUAGAUAUCAGGAGGAACACCGGCGGCGAAGGCGGCUUACUGGACUGUAACUGACGUUGAGGCUCGAAGGCGUGGGGAGCAAACAGGAUUAGAUACCCCAGUAGUC